CCCCUAGAUGUUCUGGGCCGCACGCGCGCUACACUGAACAGUUCAACAAGUCUUAACCUUGGCCGAUAGGUCUGGGUAAUCUUUGAACGCUGUUCCUGAUUGGGAUAGACCUUUGCAAUUAUGGGUCUUCAACGAGGAAUUCCUAGUAAACGCAAGUCAUCAGCUUGCAUUGAUUACGUCCCUGCCCUUUGUACACACCGCCCGUCGCACCUACCGAUUGAAUGGUCCGGUGAAAUCUCGGGACGGCGGCUUGGUCGCUUGCGUCCGACUGCUGAAACUUGAUUAAACCAUAUCAUUUAGAGGAAGGUGAAGUCGUAACA
rnacentral:rRNA from 1 species